CCAUGUACAUUUAAACAAAAUGGAGGCUCUUUAGUGAGCUUAUAUAUUCAAAUGGCCAUUGGAAUAAAACUAAAGAGCCUCCAUUUUGUUUAAAUGUACAUGG